rnacentral:rRNA from 1 species
CAAGGCGACGAUGCGUAGCCGACCUGAGAGGGUGAUCGGCCACACUGGGACUGAGACACGGCCCAGACUCCUACGGGAGGCAGCAGUAGGGAAUCUUCCGCAAUGGACGAAAGUCUGACGGAGCAACGCCGCGUGAGUGAUGAAGGUUUUCGGAUCGUAAAGCUCUGUUGUUAGGGAAGAACAAGUGCCGUUCAAAUAGGGCGGCACCUUGACGGUACCUAACCAGAAAGCCACGGCUAACUACGUGCCAGCAGCCGCGGUAAUACGUAGGUGGCAAGCGUUGUCCGGAAUUAUUGGGCGUAAAGGGCUCGCAGGCGGUUUCUUAAGUCUGAUGUGAAAGCCCCCGGCUCAACCGGGGAGGGUCAUUGGAAACUGGGGAACUUGAGUGCAGAAGAGGAGAGUGGAAUUCCACGUGUAGCGGUGAAAUGCGUAGAGAUGUGGAGGAACACCAGUGGCGAAGGCGACUCUCUGGUCUGUAACUGACGCUGAGGAGCGAAAGCGUGGGGAGCGAACAGGAUUAGAUACCCUGGUAGUCCACGCCGUAAACGAUGAGUGCUAAGUGUUAGGGGGUUUCCGCCCCUUAGUGCUGCAGCUAACGCAUUAAGCACUCCGCCUGGGGAGUACGGUCGCAAGACUGAAACUCAAAGGAAUUGACGGGGGCCCGCACAAGCGGUGGAGCAUGUGGUUUAAUUCGAAGCAACGCGAAGAACCUUACCAGGUCUUGACAUCCUCUGACAAUCCUAGAGAUAGGACGUCCCUUCGGGGGCAGAGUGACAGGUGGUGCAUGGUUGUCGUCAGCUCGUGUCGUGAGAUGUUGGGUUAAGUCCCGCAACGAGCGCAACCCUUGAUCUUAGUUGCCAGCAUUCAGUUGGGCACUCUAAGGUGACUGCCGGUGACAAACCGGAGGAAGGUGGGGAUGACGUCAAAUCAUCAUGCCCCUUAUGACCUGGGCUACACACGUGCUACAAU